rnacentral:lncRNA from 1 species
GCCAUCCUGGAAUCCACUCACUAGCCCGGCCCCUGAACCAACGGAUGAAUGUGGUGAAGCCUUCCCCUCGUCACCCCAGGUGCAGCCACAGCAUCUGCAGCCACCCUGGGGGAGAGACAGCUCCAGAUAAGGAUCUGGGCAUGAAGAAGAAAACAUUGAACCAGUCACGCAUCCUGAGCUUAGGUUUACCUGGCGAGGCAGGAAUUUUCCUUCCAACAUCUCUUCAUAGAUAUAUGUGUAUAUAAAGUUUCCAGAUAAUUUGAGGCAUGCAUUUUAUACCUACAGCAGUCACUGUUAUAGAAACUGUGUCCCUCAUGCUGCAGUAUCUCAGAAACAGAGGCAGAAUUUAAUCAUCUCAUCCUCUGAUGUGAAGUUCUCUAUCAUUUAAUAUGCACACAUCACAGAUUUCAAAAUUGGCUGCUGAAAUUCAGUCUUCGGCAGAAACCCCGCUGUCUCUUUGACUUGAAAUGUGUUCUAAAAUGUAUAAUAAUAAACAACUAUUAAACAAACAAAAAAGAAACUGUGGAUAGCAGACUCAGUACAGACCUUAAAAGUGAACUUCAGAUGCAUCAGAAUUUUCUCCAAAUGCUCCAGAAAUUCUUGACCAUAACCAGUUAGACUUUAUUGAAAUUGUAUGGAGUAUGACGCACUGUUCUACAUCAAGGGCCAAUUGCUACAAAUAAGAAAAGAUUCUGGUAUUUUUUUCCACCUCUCUCUUAACCUCAGGUCAUGGUCCCUGUAUAUUUUUUGCACCAACUUUACUUUCC